GGCUUCGGGGAAUGGUUUUACUUUUCUGGUAGGAGAGACAGAUAUGUUUGGUGCAACUCUGUUGCCUUUCUCCUGCCCUGACCUGGAAGGUGAAGGUUAGAGCUGUGGCAGCCAAGUGAGGACGUCAAAGAACACCAAAAAAAGAAAGAGCCUGGGAAAUGCCAGCAACUGCCGAUCUCCAGAAUCCCUGGUGCAUCAGCGUCCAGAGGCAGCGGCUGCCACGUCCUGGAUCAGAUGUCCACUUGCUGACUUGGGAGAACAAAAGUGGGUUUGGUGUGUGCGAUGAAAAUGAUCCAGUAGUGAGGAAGCGACUGAUGAUGCUGAAAGCAGAAAUGAUACUCCAGGACUGAAGUCCCUGAUAAAGAAGGAGAAAGAGUCAGAGCACAGGUCAGGAGACUGGCUUUUGACAGGAGCAGAGAUCGCUCUCACAGGGGUGAAGACAGAAAACAACAGGUAGAUUUGUGGAUCCAGCAGCAGGUGGAUAAGAAACUCCCCCACUUGCUUGUUUCUACUUUUUCAAGAAAAUGGAAAGCAAGGUCAUCAGCCAAGGAUUGGGAAGAGAGGCUAUGGGAGAUUCAAAACUCCCUUCUGGAUCACAGAAGAAAAUCAAUUAUAUUACAUGAUGCAGAAUAUCUAUCUCCAAUCCUACUUUGUGGUACCACUCCAGGGCCUUCCCUGAAGAGUAGAGAGCAUGAUGAAAAUGGCUACGAUUAUGAUUCCCAUUUUACAGAGCAGAAAAGCAGGCUUACAGAGGUUUAAGUAAGGCACCAAGGAGCUGAUUAGCAGUGACACUGGGGACUCACCGGGUCUGUAUGACCACUGAACCAAUUAUUCAAUGCUCUGGCACACCCAAAGUCCUGAAUGAACAGUAGUGAGAUUUGGCACAGACAAGAUCAUCCUCUAUGACUUCAUUCAGUCAACAUUUCCCCAGCCAGAGGUCAUCGGGUCAUCGUGCCUGAGUGGCCCAGACGCUUCAGGCCACACGGGAAGAUCUCGUGAACUGUCAGACGUGUGCGUGCGUAUGCAUCUGUGUGCACGUGUAUGAGACGGAAAGCGGUCCGAGGGAGAUACGGAUACAUAUCGGCAUUCUUGGGCUCUAGUUCAGAACUAUUCUCCGAAGUGCUGGAGAGUUAGUUUGUCUCAGAGCACUAAUGCAUUUUGGAAAAGAGAAAGAAUUUUUAAAGGCAAGCCAUCUCUCAUCCUCUUUCUUCAUUCACAGGGCCAGAAAAGUGGUAUUUCUGGCAGGGGCUAGAGGCAGAAUCCUCUAUAAAUACAAAGCCAUUAAAUCCCAUGCAGCGGGAACCUGAUCGGAGCCUCCUUUUAAUUUCCUGACAUGAGCUGGCCACUAACCCAAUUACCCAGAAUCCCCGGAGGAGCCCUCCGCCCUCCCAACAAGCACAAAGAGAGUGAGAGCAUAUUGCAUGGAUGUCGGCCCAGCUUUCACUGAAAUCAAAUAUCUUUUAGAAAACACUUGGGGAAAAGGCAGGCAAGGGCUGAGGGGAGGAGGAAGUGGAGCGGGACAGGGAGGCUGCUGGCCCGAGGCAGGUGAAGUGAGGUGAGGAGAAGGUGAAGUUCGCAGGACAGGCCUUCCAGGGAGAGCUGCUGAAAGCCCAGAGCCGUGCUGAAGCAUGCGGGCUUCCUGUGAAAGGCAGCAAAUGGUUUUCCAGGUUCUUCGGCUCAGAGGCUGGCAGGCCACACCCCAGCCAGGCGGGGAAGCCCAACUAUCGGGGGAGAGCCGCUCCGCUGCUGUCCCGAGGGAACCUCUCAUCCUGACUUUAGACCCCAGACAGGGGGCCAGCCCCAGGCGGAGGUCACCCCUGAGAUGCCCACCAGCGAGUCCAGGAGGAAGAUCAGGGCGGCCAGUAUGUCUCACCUCACGCGAGACCGCCUUUGAACCAACUACUCUAAUAACACGCCCAGAAAGGUGACGGCUUAAAGCAAUCCCACGGUGGAUUUCACCAAGGAGUCAUUCCACGUGGUCCCCCCGCCCCACUUGACCUGCAGGUGUCAACACCCCUGCUCCCCAGGUGAAGAAAUGGAGGCCCAGGAGUGUGAGCCAGAGAGAGAACGCACACAGCAGGAUUCCCUCAGAGCCAGGAGCGAGGGCGCAGGCCCCAACCCUCAACCCAGUGUGGAUUUUGUGUCCGAUUUCUUAUGAAGAGAAAAGUCACCUUUUUUCUCUGAAAAAGCAGACUUUCACACACUGGAUUUGCUUAAAGUGAGACAGACCUGGGUACUGCCUAUGUGGAACAGUCGAUGAUGAUGAUUCCAGAGCCGACGGCGGCCCCAAGGCAGGGGGGAGGCUGAGUCGCAAGAAGUCCCAUCACCAGAGUUUCCCCUCUCUCCCCCACCCCCACAGGUGCUGGCCCCCAAAUUAUGAAGCAGUGUCUAAGGUGUUUUACUUGCGAAAAGAAAAACUGUAAAAGACAGGGGCGCCUAGGUGGCUCAGCGGGUUAAGCAUCUGACUUUGGCUCAGGUCACGAUAUCACGGUCUGUGGGUUCGAGCCCCGUGGCAGGCUCUGUGCUGACAGCCUGCUUUGGAUUCCGUCUCCCUUUCUCUCUGGCCCUCCCGCCCCCCCCCCCCCCCCACCGCACACACGCUCUCUAGAGCUGCUGGACAGAAGACAGGAAACAGCUUAAGAUGUGCAGGUGAGGUAGGGAGGAGGGGGAGCGGACAUUCGCAUCCCUUCUCCAGCCUCCUGCCACCCCCACACUUCUACACAAGACCCGAGACCCGGGACCCCGGCCCCUGGUUCCUCCAAGCGAGGCCCACCCCAGAUCCUUCAGGAGGAGUGGCUCCCAGGGAGGCUGCAGCCUGCCUCUCAGAGUCGGGCCAGAGUCUGGGGGAAAGCAGAGGGAGGGCAGGGAGCCUGUGCCCGCCCCAGGGGCCCAGGCUCCUGCUCGCGAGGUGGUGGGGGGACAACCAAACAAAAGCAGGAGCCGGGGCAGCUGCCAAGAGCCCCCACCUGGCAGGGGCCCAGGCUCCUCAACGAGGCACGCUCCUCCUCAGGGGGCUGGUCCCCGUGGAGCUUCUGAUGGCAGGAUCCCGCCAAGGCUCUGCACUGCAGGGGACAGAAACUAAAUGGAGGCACUCGGCUUUGUCCGCUCCGGGAGCCUUUGUGUCAUCCUGUCCCCUCUGGAUUUAGAACUGCCAGCACUGGGGCGGCGUGGCGGAGGGGAGGGUUCUGCGGACGGCCCCUCCUCCUCCAGGCAGAGCUCCGGAAAGGGCCUCUCCAGGCUGGGCCCAAGGGGUGUCAGAUGCCCCUUGCUGCCACCCUAGAGAGAAACCAUGCAGGGGUUUCAAGUGGUGGUCCCUCCCUUUUUCCUCAUCUCUCCUUCCCCUUCCCACGCUCUUCAGCUCACAAUCCCGGGAAACUCCAGGCUCUGGGCCCAGCUCCCCACACAUCGGCAGAGACUGAGGGUGGAAAAGACCUUGAGCCCCAAGCCCUACAGGACUCAGUUCUGUCAUCGUUAAAAUUCAGGAGCAUACUAACAGCACGGCAGCUCCCCUCUGCUCCAAGUUCCCCAGAUGCUGUGAAGUAAGCAAUGAGAGUCCACAAACUACAACCAGAAAAGGCCACUGCACUGCUGGCCCCCGGCCUGACCCAGUGCCCUCAUGCCCAGCUUCCAGAACAAGGCGGUAGCCCCCGUCCCCAGGAUUUAUGAGCUAGCUUCUCUAAGACUUAGAAACCCUUAGGCUGGCUUCCAGCAGCCCUCGGAGGAGGAAGUCUAGAGGCCAGCACUGAAGCAUACUGCUGAGGACCCCUGUGCCUCAGUUUCCUCAUCUGUGAACCCCAGGAUGCUCUGGAGGAGCAGAAAGAGCCUGGCGUAGCAAUCAGGGGACCCUGGUCAGUCACUAACUCGGGUCACACCCUACACAAGGGUAUGACUCAAAUCGUGUAGAAUCAAAAUGAACUCACAAUCUUUCAGGAGGUCUAACACAGCCCACUUUUAGUCUAGAAAGAAGACUGUUCUUACUUGACUACCCCUCCCCCCCAACGAGGCAGUUGGCAUGUUUCUAAAUAACUGAUUGGCUUCGCCAUCUCAAAGGUGUUAAAUGAAGAGGCCAACGAGAAAUGUGGUUUAAAGGGCAACAUGCUAUGUAGACACCGGGGUAGCUGAGGAACUGCUUCAGGAGCAUGUUUAGAGGUGGGCACGCUGGGCCAGCUGGGGUGGUGCACGGGACGGAGACCAGAGGUCUCUCAUUUCCCCAACACGGCAAGGUCCAAGUUGUCCUACUGACAAAGCAUCAAUUAAAUUAGCACCUUCUUCCCCAGGGAUGCAGGGAGAGGAGGAUGAGA